UUUCAACUUCAAAUGGGGAGUUAUGCCACAAACAUAAGGUUACCAGAUUUUUUUCAAAGAAUCCGGGGACACUUUUUUUCUUGAAAAGGAAAAAAAGUUAUUUUUUUAAAAGUUGUUUGUUUGUUUAAAAAGAAGUAAUAUCUUCUCUUCUGUGGUCUCCUUUGUCGCACAGCCUUCCUCUGGGUCCCAGCCUGCUCUCUUGGAGUGCUAGCCACCAUGGAGUAGGCUCGGGUCAGGCCUGGGCUUGGCCACGUGUCCUUGCCCUCCCACCGGUUUUCCUCAGCGGCGGCAGCAGCAGUGAGCAAGGUAGGGUCUCCCCUCUUUUUUCUCCUUCCUCUUUCUCUCUCUCUCUCCCUUUCUCCUUCUCCUCUCCCCUUUUCUCCUUGUGUCAGCUACAGGGUUUUCCUGGCCCUGGAGCGCCACUGGGCAGUAGGCCAGGUGGCCAGGCGCUCUUGCACCCGGCUCGAUUUGGGUCGCGGGUGUGUGUGUGUCAGCGGUUCCCCCAGUUGAUGAGCUAGGUGUUCCCAGUUCCCCCUCAGCAGUGGCAACAGCAACGGCAGUCUCAGCAGCCAGGAGCCAGCCUGGUAGUGCAGUUGGCUCUGGCUGGCUUCAGGAGCUGCUCGUUGCUGUAGCGCCUACCAUUUUGCCUUGCCAGAAGUCCCCAUAUGAUGUGUCUUGUUGUGCCGUUGAACCAAUCAUGCAACAUUCAUUCCCUACUAAUAAAUCUACAACACUUAAAAUAUAGAUCCAGGGACAUUAAAUGAAAUCUGGGGACUGUCCCUGGGAAACGGGGACAUCUGGUAACCAUACACAAACAUAAGCCCCAGCUUUCAAUCCUACAUGUCACUCAUUGUGCAAAGCAGAUGCCAAUCUCUUGAAAUGGCGCAUUUUAUACUGAAUGAGCAUCAAUCAAUCAAUCAAUCAAUCAAUAAACUGGAAGUUUUAUUCCAGUUAUCAAUGCGUUGAAUGGAGAUACUGCACUGCAAACAAAAAGAUGGAUUGUCAAGCAGGCAAGUGAAAACAAGAAGCCUCAUUUCCCCCAGCCCACUAAUAAUGGGGUUAUCUGCUCUCACACAAGCCGUUCUUCUCCAGAACAUGUCCAAAGAAUAGCCCAGGCAGUCAGCACCACAUCCUGGGUGGCGUCUUUCAUUGCUGUCACAGGCAGGGAAAUGAGUUCAUCACUCCAAAGCUACUCACUUCCCUCACAAUGGUUCUCACAAGGAAUGAACAAUGGAAUGUCAGUUGCAAAAGUCCAGGGAGGAAAGUAGGAGGAUGUAAAGGCAGAUGGAGAACAUGUGACUUUCUCUCCUGGGGUGGGGAAUCCAUGGCUGUCUAGAUCUUGCUAGGCAAUCGUUCCUGUCUUCCCUGACCAUUGAACAUGCUGACUGGAGUCCAAAGUGAAGCAAGGAACAUCUGGAUUCCCCAAUCCCUGUUCUAGCUAUUUGAAGGCACUGGGAUAUUGGAAACAUGGGCUAUUUUGGGUAAGAUGUGCGAAAUGUAAUGCCCACGGAACUUUGCUGAAGAAAGGCAGUAGUCUUCUGAAUACUUGCUUCUGGAAGCAGACAAAUGGGAAGGAUCAUCAACUUGUGGUUUAAAAACAAAAACAAAAACUGGUCAAGGGGUCUAGCCAGGACAGGUUUAGAACUGUCAAUUCUGGUGCAGUAUGAGAUUUUGGAUGUGACAAGGAUGGAGUCUGCCACCUGCCAAGCAUGGACACUCCAGGAGAGGAGUGCCAACUUGAACAAAAUAUUGGGGGGGGGCAGGUAACAGAUACUCCAAGUGUCCCUAUUUUCCAGGGACAGCCCCAGAUUUACAGAUGUGGUCCUGGUUUCUGAUUUGAUCCCAGAAUGUCCCACUUUUCCUGAUGAUGCCCCUAUUUUCAUCAGAGAAAUGUUGGAGGGCAUGGCGUUAUCUGACCCCCAAGCUGUCUGAAG